CACGUAGGAUCCGAGCGUUAUCCGGAUUUACUGGGCGUAAAGCGCGUGUAGGUGGUUUGUUAAGUUGGGUGUUAAAUCUCUCGGCUCAACUGGGAGGUGUCGCUCAAAACUAGCAGACUGGAGGAUGGUAGAGGAAGGCGGAAUUCCGGGUGUAGUGGUGAAAUGCGUAGAUAUCCGGAGGAACACCAGUGGCGAAGGCGGCCUUCUGGACCAUUCCUGACACUCCAACGCGAAAGCUAGGGGAGCAAACGGG
rnacentral:rRNA from 1 species